UGCUGGAGGUAUCAGAAGUGCGAAUGCUGACAUAAGUAACGAUAAAGCGGGUGAAAGCCCGCUCGCCGGAAGACCAAGGGUUCCUGUCCAACGUUAAUCGGGCAGGUGAGUCGACCCCUAAGGCGAGGCCGAAAGGCGUAGUCGAUGGGAAACAGGUUAAUAUUCCUGUACUUGGUGUUACUGCGAAGGGGGGACGGAGAAGGCUAUGUUAGCCGGGCGACGGUUGUCCCGGUUUAAGCAUGUAGGC
rnacentral:rRNA from 1 species